CGCGGUAUUUUGACUGUGCGAAGGUAGCAUAAUCAUUUGUCUUUUAAUUGAAGACUUGUAUGAAUGGUUGAACGAGAAAAUAACUGUCUCUUUAAAAAAUCUUGAAUUUUACUUUUAAGUGAAAAGGCUUAAAUAAUUUUAAGGGACGAUAAGACCCUAUAAAUCUUUAUAUUAUUUUUCUUUAACUUUCAAAUUAUAUAUUAAAAGAAAUAAAAGAAAAAAAUAUUAUAUUGGGGAGAUAAAAAUAUAAUUUUUAACUGUUUUAAGUAUAAAACAAUAAUUUUUGAUUUAUUAAAAAUUGAUCCUUUUUAAAGAUUUUAAGAUUAAGUUACUUUAGGGAUAACAGCGUAAUUUUUUUUGAGAGUUCUUAUCGAAAAAAAAGUUUGCGACCUCGAUGUUGAAUUAAAAUAUCCUUAUAAGUGUAGAAGCUAUAAAGGAAAGUCUGUUCGACUUUUAAAAUUUUACAU
rnacentral:rRNA from 1 species